UUAGUUUAAUAUCUAGAAGGAUAGUACCAUUAUUUAUGGUAAAGGUACGGGUUCAAGUCCCGUAAAGGACU
rnacentral:tRNA from 1 species